AUCUCUUGGUUCCAGCAUCGAUGAAGAACGCAGCGAAAUGCGAUAAGUAAUGUGAAUUGCAGAAUUCAGUGAAUCAUCGAAUCUUUGAACGCACAUUGCGCCCCUUGGUAUUCCGAGGGGCAUACCUGUUCGAGCGUCAUU
rnacentral:rRNA from 3 species